GCGUGGAUUUUAAAUGGGCCAAGUAUGACUCAAUACCUUGACCCUACUUGAGAGUAAAGUUCUAUUUGGGUCAAGACAAAUUAGAUUGAGACAUGACCUUGUAUAAGGAUCUUAAUCUCAUGAAUGGUUGGCUUUUCUAGUACUAGCCGUGUCAUUCCUCUACGUAUGAGCCAUAAAGAGUUGGAAGGAUCGGGUGAGUUUAGAUUGGACCACUCAGGGAUUGAGCCUUGCGAAUUAGACUAAUGCGAGCUAGAAAUGAGUCAAACCAAAUGAUCAAAGUCGACCUCAAUAUCGGAUCAAAUGGGUAAGGUUCCUUACGUUGACCUCAACUAACUUGAUCUGAACCUGAUCCAAUCCAACCCAUUGCUGGCCCCAGUCUUUUUUGACAAAAGCCACCACUAGUCUUAAAUCGCUACACAUAGCUAUUGUUUGUUAUUUAAACUAUUAUAAUGCGACUAAUGGCAAGAUUCUUCUGAAACCUCCAGCAUGUCCAAAAUACAUAAUUCGACCGUUACUAAAUUCAUUACUAUGAGGUGUAAUGAUUUAGAAGACUAUGCAUGUCCAAAAUACAUAAUUCAUACGCUGCUAAAUUUGUUACAAUGACCUGAAGACUAUAAUAGCUAUGUUUUUCUGGAAACCUCGGGCACAUGCCCAAAAUACAGAAUUCAUGUGUUACUAAAUUCAUUAAUAUGACAUGCCAUGGUUUCCAAGACUAGCCCUCUGUUUGGUAUGAAUGAUG
rnacentral:lncRNA from 1 species